CUGAGGUGUGUAUGUGGGUACGUGUUUAAUAGGCUUAAUAAUUAAUGCUUAAUUUAACACUUUAAUAGGUCUAAUUUUCUUUAAAUAAAGGAGGUCUUUCUACAACUCCAAAUACUUGCAAAACACUUAAAAAUUUAUUAGUCAGACAAUUUUGGCAUUAUUCAAGUUGCUUUUGACUGAACAUAACAGAAACCAAUAUGAGCUUGCUUAAGCAAGGAAAAGAAGCUUACUGUGGAUCAGAACACACACUCAGUGAAACAGCUGAAACUCGGGAAUGGAACCUAACACGCAACAGAAGUUCAGCAUCCCUACAUUGCUAGUGUCCCAUCUGAUUCCUACUUUAUUUUAUUGUAAUUUUUGCUCUGCAGACUCUCUUUUGAUUUUUUUACUUCAUGUGUGAAAUAGGGAUUCUCCCACUUUCAGUUCCUGAAUUUACACAAUUUACACAUUACUCGUCUAGUCAUAUGCAGAAACCAAUUAACUAGGUUAUGAAUCUCAAUUCAAUGGACUACCAGAAGAAAUAGAAAUGGCGACUAUAUACAUGAAUAGUGCUCAAUAUUGUUCUUCAUGAAGGGAAUGCGAUUAGAUACCACUUCACACCCACUAAAGUAACUAAAAUGAUGAAGAUCGAUAACACUUUAUGUUGGUGAAUAUGUCCAGCACUUGCAACUUGAAUAUAGUACUAAUGAGAAUAUAGAAUUACUUUGGAAAAUUGGUGAGCUGCUUUGGUCAAUGAAGUAUUUUUUAAAAACAUAACAAUCCAAUUCUAGGUAUUUUCUGUAGAAAAGUGAUGACAUUUGUAUACAUAAAGAUGCAUUUAAGCAUGUUCGUAGCACUCUCUGUUUUCUUUUCACAUAGUGGCCUCAAACUGUAUACAAUCUAGAUACCUGCUGAUAGGAGCAUAAAGAAGCUAUGGUUUGCUCAUUCCACAGAAUGUUGCUCAGCAGCAUGCAGGAAUGACUACUAACAUGUACAGCAACAUCAACAAAUCUCAGGAAUAUUAUGCUGAAUUAAAAAGCCAGACAUGAAAGAAUCAGCAUUAUUUUAUUAUGUGAAGGCCUAGAACAGCAAAGCUAAUCUAUGUUGAUAAAAAUCAUACAGGUGGUUGUGGAUGGCAGGAGGUUGACUGGAAAAAGGCACAAGGAAGUUUUAUGAGAAGAUGGAAAUGUUUAUAUGUUGACUUGCAUCUUAACUACACAGAAACUUGAAAUUAAACCUGAAGACCUUAUUAGACUCAAAUUACAUAUUUUUGGCGAGAAACUUGUAUUGUUCAUGCAAUAAAUUGCCUUUUGUGUUAUAUGAGAAGAUUUGCUGAUUAUUAAUCUACAGUGGAUGAACAUUUAAGAAACUAAGCCUGCUAAAAAUCUAACUGGAGCUUUUGAAAAUCUCCUGGUUCUAAAAGACAAAUCUCAUGGUUUCAGGACCAACACAAGGAAGAAGUUCAUUGGUACAAACCUCACACCAUGGGACCCCUGGAGGACUAUACCUUAGAAGCAGGGAUGAAAGAAAGGCAGACAGAGAUGAGACUGACAGAGGCAGCUAGGUGUGAAAUUGUGGAUUAGGACAAUGGCAAGAAUUUCAGUGUCUUGAAGCUGACUCAGCACAUGGGCAAAUAUCGGGACAUGAAAUGGGACAGGAAGUA